GGGUGGGCAGGCCCAGUGGCAGAACGUCUGCUUUGCAUGCAAAAGGUCUCAGGUUUGAUCCCUGACAUCUCCCA